AUUGAACGCUGGCGGAAUGCUUUACACAUGCAAGUCGAACGGUAGAGGGGGCAACCCCUUGAGAGUGGCGAACGGGUGAGUAAUAUAUCGGAACGUGCCCAGUCGUGGGGAUAACGUAGCGAAAGUUACGCUAAUACCGCAUACGAUCUACGGAUGAAAGCGGGGGACUCGCAAGAGCCUCGCGCGAUUGGAGCGGCCGAUAUCAGAUUAGGUAGUUGGUGGGGUAAAGGCUCACCAAGCCAACGAUCUGUAGCUGGUCUGAGAGGACGACCAGCCACACUGGGACUGAGACACGGCCCAGACUCCUACGGGAGGCAGCAGUGGGGAAUUUUGGACAAUGGGCGCAAGCCUGAUCCAGCAAUGCCGCGUGCAGGAUGAAGGCCU
rnacentral:rRNA from 1 species